UUGGUUUCAUAAUUGUUCUGUUUAUAUUCGAGUCAAAUCUUUGUCUUUCCGUAUCAUAUGUUCAAUUCUUGUUGCUUCUUCGUCUUGUCUUGUUACUAUCUUUGCAAAUCGCCAUAAUAAAUUUGUGUGAAAUAUGAGGGUAGUGUAAACGCGUGAGUGAAUGGGAAACAUAGCAGGUUCUAUGCAUUUGCUCCCUCUCGGGUCCUUUUCCUUUCCAACCUUUUCUUUUUCCUUUUUGAUUGUUUAUUUGCUUCUUGCUUGGAGAUACUGAUUGGUUUAGUUUGUUACAAAUUGCUUCUAGCACGUCCAAGCCAUAUCCUCGGUCAAGCGUUUCAUCAAACACCUUACGUGCUGAUGCUGCUUCUCCAGGAUCACUCCACCCUCUCACCAAAAUGAUGCAGCCACAGAGAAGAUAAUAUGUUUUUGCAUUUGGAUCAACCAUCAGUAUUGUGAAACGAUUAUGGUCGUUGUUAGUCUCACAUUGGAGAUUAAAGGACGGCCAAAUUGUGCUCAGAAGCAGGUUGCUAUUUUUCCAUUAGAUUCUAAAUGCAUUGUCUGUUUGUAUGUUAACAAUUCCUUGAAGCCUGCCCAGAGAGGGGUACAACUGUUCUUGCAAUUGCUUAUGAUGCAAGGAGUUGCAAUGCUUUUGCAAAAUAGAUAUCAACACCAGAGUCUCUAGCUUUGUUUAAUUGUUAUUUUAGUCUAAGCGAAUGGAUGUUGUGCGGGGAGAAACAGCUUGUAUGGAUGGAUAAUUAUGGCUACUGAGUCCUGUACUCUUCAUUCUGCAAGUGUUUAUGCCAUCUCUUAUCUGGUGUUCUCAUAUACUGAUGGAACAUGCCUGCUCUACUAAUCAUAAGCGGAGCCUACUCUUCUCAUAACAUUUUUUUUUUUUUUUUUUUGCCUCUGCUAAUUUUGUAUAUCCUUUGUAUGGUCUGAACAAAAGAAGCAAAGUGUUAAUCUGAUAGCAAUUGACUGUCGCACUACAG